GAUGAACGCUGGCGGCGUGCCUAAUACAUGCAAGUCGAGCGAACAGAUAAGGAGCUUGCUCCUUUGACGUUAGCGGCGGACGGGUGAGUAACACGUGGGUAACCUACCUAUAAGACUGGGAUAACUUCGGGAAACCGGAGCUAAUACCGGAUAACAUUUGGAACCGCAUGGUUCUAAAGAGAAAGAUGGUUUUGCUAUCACUUAUAGAUGGACCCGCGCCGUAUUAGCUAGUUGGUAAGGUAACGGCUUACCAAGGCGACGAUACGUAGCCGACCUGAGAGGAUGAUAGGCCACACUGGAACUGAGACACGGUCCAGACUCCUACGGGAGGCAGCAGUAGGGAAUCUUACGCAAAGGGCGAAAGCCUGACAGAGCAACGCCGCGUGAGUGAUGAAGGGUUUCGGCUCGUAAAACUCGGUUAUUAGGGAAGAACAGAUGUGUAAGUAACUGUGCACGUCUUGACGGUACCUAAUCAGAAAGCCACGGCUAACUACGUG
rnacentral:rRNA from 1 species